rnacentral:rRNA from 1 species
UACAGAGGUCCCGAGCGUUGUUCGGAUUCACUGGGCGUAAAGGGCGCGUAGGCGGUCGUGACAAGUCACUUGUGAAAUCUCCGGGCUUAACUCGGAACGGUCAAGUGAUACUGUCGGACUAGAGUACAGAAGGGGCAACUGGAAUUCUCGGUGUAGCGGUGAAAUGCGUAGAUAUCGAGAGGAACACCUGCGGCGAAGGCGGGUUGCUGGGCUGAUACUGACGCUGAGGCGCGAAAGCCAGGGGAGCGAACGGGGAUUAGA